GUGCUUGGGACUCAAUGACCUAACCGUCAACACUGUCUUGAUGUCAACAAGUUGUUGGAGUAGUACUAAACAGGAGCAUGCAAUGCCUGUAGGAAGUGUUAGGAGAAACUGAUCUUGAUUCACAAGAAAUAUAAGACAAAAUCAACGAAGCAAAUACCAAGUAUAUGGCGGUGAAGAGAUUUUAAUGAAAAUAUCAGAAUGAACAACUACAAUUUUGUACAUUUGGAUGUCUGCACAUACCUGGAUACAAGAAUGAAUCAUAGAUCAAGCCAUAUGUGCACAAACUUUGCUGAAACCCAGUUUGUGUAGGUACUCUUAAAUUUUUAACACCAUUCCUUGACAGUUGAAUACGCAAAACGGAUAUGCGUUUCCAUACACUGCUUGCAUUCGCGUAUGAAUUUGUAAUAGUUGCAAACCUUCCGCACACAAAAAUUUAAUGACCUCACGCUGAUUCUAUUUGGACGGAUUAUUACCAAUAAACGCCAUAAGCCCAGGCGCAAAAUUUCGCCCAAUGUAUUUUAAAUGCAUUAAUUUUUUUUUCGAAUCCUGAGAAAACUAAUAAGUAUUUUUGAAAAAUUUAAACGCAGAAUGAAAGAUUGCAUUAUUACCUAGGGCCGAAAGUGCCUGAAAUCUUCUAUAAUAUUAAUUUGUUUUAAUAAGUUGAAGGGGUGAAGAAAA
rnacentral:lncRNA from 1 species